AAUGAACGCUGGCGGCGUGCUUAACACAUGCAAGUCGAACGGUGAACGAGGGAGCUUGCUCCCUCCGGAUCAGUGGCGAACGGGUGAGUAACACGUGAGCAAUCUGCCCUGGACUCUGGGAUAAGCGUUGGAAACGACGUCUAAUACCGGAUACGAGGCGUGGGGGCAUCCCCAACGCCUGGAAAGAACUUCGGUCCAGGAUGAGCUCGCGGCCCAUCAGCUAGUUGGUGAGGUAACGGCUCACCAAGGCGACGACGGGUAGCCGGCCUGAGAGGGUGACCGGCCACACUGGGACUGAGACACGGCCCAGACUCCUACGGGAGGCAGCAGUGGGGAAUAUUGCACAAUGGGCGCAAGCCUGAUGCAGCAGCGCCGCGUGAGGGACGACGGCCUUCGGGUUGUAAACCUCUUUUAGCAGGGAAGAAGCGAAAGUGACGGUACCUGCAGAAAAAGCACCGGCUAACUACGUGCCAGCCGCCGCCGUAA
rnacentral:rRNA from 1 species